rnacentral:rRNA from 1 species
CUCCUCCGGGAAAUCUGACAGCUCAACUGUUAGGCUUCCGGGGGAUACUGUCAGACUUGGGACCGGGAGAGGUAAGAUGGUACUACAGGGGUAGGAUGUGAAAUCUUGUAAUCCCUGUGGGACCACCAGUGGCGAAGUGCGUCUUUACCAGAACGGGUCCGACGGUGAGGGACGAAAGCUGGGGGCACGAACCGGAUUAGAUACCCGGGUAGUCCCAGCCGUAAACGAUGCUCGCUAGGUGUCAGGGACGGUGCGACCGUUUCUGGUGCCGCAGGGAAGCCGUGAAGCGAGCCACCUGGGAAGUACGGCCGCAAGGCUGAAACUUACAGGAAUUGGCGGGGGAGCACUACAACGGGUGGAGCCUGCGGUUUAAUUGGACUCAACGCCGGAAAACUCACCGGGGGCGACAGCAAUAUGUAGGUCAGGCUAAAGACCUUACCCGAAUCGCUGAGAGGAGGUGCAUGGCCGUCGUCAGUUCGUACUGUGAAGCAUCCUGUCAAGUCAGGCAACGAGCGAGACCCGUGCCCACUGUUGCCAGCAUGUCCUUACGAGGAUGAUGGGUACUCUGUGGGGACCGCCGCUGUUAAAGCGGAGGAAGGUGCGGGCUACGGUAGGUCAGUAUGCCCCGAAUCUCCCGGGCUACACGCGGGCUACAAUGAUUGGGACAAUGGGUCCCUACUCCGAAAGGAGAUGGUAAUCUCAUAAACCCAACCUUAGUUCGAAUUGAGGGCUGUAACUCGCCCUCAUGAAGCUGGAAUCCGUAGUAAUCGCGUUUCAACAUAGCUCGGUGAAUACGUCCCUGCUC